rnacentral:lncRNA from 1 species
AAAAUACAACCCCGGCUGAUUCUUCUUCUUAUAAAAGGGAAAGCUUGAUCAAGUUGAAAGCAGUCUUGUGAUCAGAAUUCUGUCAGUUCUAGGGAGCUAUUCAUGGGAACAUGGCAUGAGAAAGAGAAACUUCAGACUUACGCACCAGAUUGAAAAGGAGAACAGGUCGUCCUCACGGGCUGCUUCUUCCACGAAUAAAAGGGCAGAGGUUGAUCAUGUUGAAAGCAAUCGGAUGUUCCUAAUUCCAUUAAUUCCAGUUAGCGAUUCAUGGGGAAGAUAGCAGGAGAAAAGCAAACUUCAGAAUUCGUACAAGAUUAAGCAUGUCGUUCACCAGCGAUUGACUCCUUCACCAGAACGCGAUUGAAGAACAGCGC